AUUGAACGCUGGCGGCAGGCCUAACACAUGCAAGUCGAACGAGUGGCGGACGGGUGAGUAAUGCCUAGGAAUCUGCCUGGUAGUGGGGGAUAACGUCCGGAAACGGGCGCUAAUACCGCAUACUAUCAGAUGAGCCUAGGUCGGAUUAGCUAGUUGGUGGGGUAAAGGCCUACAAAGGCGACGAUCCGUAACUGGUCUGAGAGGAUGAUCGGUCACACUGGAACUGAGACACGGUCCAGACCCCUACGGUAGGCAGCAGUGGGGAAUAUUGGACAAUGGGCGAAGGCCUGACCCAGCCAUGCCGGGUGUGUGAAGAAGGCCUUCGGGUUGUAAAGUACUUUCAGCGGGGAGGCGUUACCCGCAGAAGAAGCACCGGCUAACUCCGUGCCAGCAGCCGCGGUAAUA
rnacentral:rRNA from 1 species